rnacentral:misc_RNA from 1 species
GAAAUGCGAUAAGUAAUGCGAAUUGCAGAAUCAGUGAAUCAUCGAGUUUUUGAACGCACAUUGCGCCUCCUGGCAUUCCGGGAGGCACGCCUGUUCGAGCGCCAUUACAACCUCCAAGCUCUGCUUGAUGUUGGGCUCUGUCGGCAGACGGGUCUGAAACGUGUUGGCGUCCGACGACGACCGCGAGCGUAGCAAGGAUUUUUUUUUCUUUCGCUCUGCGCAUCGUCCUCGGUUCCGCCUUGAGUACCGGACAUCAAGGUUGGCCUCGGAUCAGGUGGGGAUACCCGCUGAACUUAAGCAU